AGCAGCCGCGGUAAUUCCAGCUCCAAUAGCGUAUAUUAAAGUUGUUGCAGUUAAAAAGCUCGUAGUUGAAUUUCGGGGUUAGUAGGUUGGUCAUGCCUCUGGUAUGUACUGGUCUCACUGAUUCCUCCUUCCUGAUGAGCCGUAAUGCCAUUAAUUUGGUGUUGCGGGGAAUUUGGACUGUUACUUUGAAAAAAUUAGAGUGUUUAAAGCAAGCUAACGCUUGAAUACAUUAGCAUGGAAUAAUGAAAUAGGACGUUCGAUCCUAUUUUGUUGGUUUCUAGGAUUGACGUAAUGAUUAAUAGGGAUAGUUGGGGGCAUUAGUAUUCAAUUGUCAGAGGUGAAAUUCUUGGAUUUAUUGAAGACUAACUACUGCGAAAGCAUUUGCCAAGGAUGUUUUCAUUAAUCAAGAACGAAAGUUAGGGGAUCGAAGACGAUCAGAUACCGUCGUAGUCUUAACCAUAAACUAUGCCGACUAGGGAUCGGAUAAUGUUAAUUUUUUAAUGACUC
rnacentral:rRNA from 1 species